UUUAUCUUUAGAACUGUUUUCAAAACUUUUGGUUUGAAUACAAAAGACCAAGUAAAAAUGAUACUGGAAAGAUGUCGUAACCAGCUAGAAGUCGUAACCAGCUCGUAUGAAAGGAUUUCUCGACGUGAAAUAGUUAAUUUUAUUCAACAACUCCAAAAAACAGAGCUCGCUC